rnacentral:rRNA from 1 species
UACGUAGGGUGCAAGCGUUGUCCGGAAUUAUUGGGCGUAAAGAGCUCGUAGGCGGUCUGUCGCGUCGGACGUGAAAAUCCAGGGCUCAACCCUGGACCUGCGUUCGAUACGGGCAGACUAGAGUUCGGUAGGGGAGAUUGGAAUUCCUGGUGUAGCGGUGAAAUGCGCAGAUAUCAGGAGGAACACCGGUGGCGAAGGCGGCUUCCUGGACCGAUUACUGACGCUGAGGCGCGAAAGCUAGGGGAGCAAACGGG